rnacentral:misc_RNA from 1 species
AACGCACCUUGCGCCCCUUGGUAUUCCGAGGGGCAUGCCUGUUUGAGUGUCAUUUUAUCAUCAACUCAUUAGUCUUUGAUUAGGCUUUUGGGCUUGGACUUGGGAAUUGCUGGCUUGAUCUUUUACCCAUUGGACAGUAUCUAAUACUUAAUAGAGGGAAAAAGUGUAGUCGGCUGUCCUUAAAUGCAUUAGCGAGUGUUAGUCUACAUGGCACGGCCUCUUGACGUGAUAAUGAUCGUCGUGGGCUGGAAGUGUAGUGUCUGGCUUCUAAAUCCCGAUUUUGCGUGCAUACGGCCCAUAAAGCUGGAAGCGCAAUCAAAUUCGACUACGUGCAUACGGCCCAUAAAGCUGGAAGCGUAGUCAAAAUGACAAGUUUGACCUCAAAUCAGGUAGGACUACCCGCUGAACUUAA